CGCUGCCGCCGGGCACCCCGAGUUGACGCCCAUGGAGCGCGUCGAGCCGUCGAGCAGAGCGGAGCGGAUGUUGCACCCCCUUCCUCGCUGCCGCUCGGUCUGCAGAUGCGAUGCGGAGAGGAAAGGAUGAGAUGGAUAGAAGAAGGGGAUGCAUGAUCAAGAGGAGAAGAGGAGGUCGCACCACCCAAGUACUCUUUUCCAUCCAGCGGAGGUCACACCGUUCCCUCUUCUCGUCGGCGACUACACCAAUGGCGGCUGCUUCGUCAACGGGGGAGACGACGACUGCGAGGGUGGCCUCAGGGCCAGCUAGACUCGUCAACCACCGAUUCGACGAUGAAGAAGGGUGAUGCGAUUUGUAUCAAUAUAGAAACCUACUUUGGGUGGUCUUCAGUAAACACUGGGCAUGAUUGUAGAUGAUUUGAUAUCAUGGUAGAUGUGAGAUUGAUCGCUGGAGUUGGCUCUGGAGGCGCACAUCUUGAUGAGGAUCUUUAAGGAGAUUGAAAGCUUCAGUUCGGCUCCAACUGUUAAUCCGACAAUCAGGAAUUAAACCUCAUGAUUGCACGUGUUGCCGCAACAGCAUCUUACUAAUGAGGAGUUGACGGAAUUUCUCUCCCAGCUAGAGAUGAAAAAAACAUGGAGAGAAUUAGGUAUGUUUAUCUCUCUAUUGUUUAGGUUCCCUUGUAGAUGAAAGUUGCAAUGUCACUAGAUUAUUUCUACUUAAGAGUUACACUAGACAUGGCAUGCUUUUGGGCUCUAGCCGGUACCCUACAUUUUACACUUCUAUGUUGGUGAUUUUUCAUUUUUCUAUUACUGCCAGCGGUUAAUUAGCUGAUCAUAUUUGUGUGUAAUUUUCUCCUUGUUGUCACUGAAGACAUAUAAUGAGUGGUUGGCCUCCUUUUUAGUUUUCUUUGCAAUAUUUGUGUGUAAAAAUGAUUAGUGAGAUGAACAUACGUAAUGGGAUAUAGUGGAAUACAUUGCUGCAAUGAUUAAGCAACUACAGUUUCUGCAUGUUGAAUUACUUUCUACUUCAGGCAAUCCAAGCGAUGGUAAGUCGUUUUUAUGCUGUCUUCCUUUAGUUUUCUAAUUUAAUCUCCUGUAUAAUUCCUUCAAAUGAAGGAACAAAGAAAAUAUUAGUGUUGGUAUAUGAUUGAUAAUUUGCAGGGACAUGGUGGCUUUUUCGUGGUGGAUCCAUUUCUCCCUACUAUGCCGCCUAAUUGACUUCCCUUCGGUUGCCAUCACAGGCAUGUCUAUAGCUUGAUCUCAAUGGCACCAGCUGUAUGGACGUGACUUUUUUUGAUAAUUUCCUACACCAAAUUUAUGCCUUCAAGUACAGCCAAGGCUAAGCCACACAAACUUUCGUUAGUUCUCGAUACUUUUUUGUAUGAGAUUUUGGAUCAGUAUAGUCUGCAGGGAUGCUCAUGCUUCUUAUAUUUACUUCUAAUUCCAAAUACGGAUAUGCUUUUUAUUUAUGCCUACUAAAGUAUGUGUGUUAAACAAAGCAUGGAAUUUGUGUUUUUUCAGAUUAUUGCUGAUUUAGUUGUACACACGUAGUUAAAAUCUGCACAUGUACUAAAACUGGAUCAUAUUUCAGUGGAUAAUUUAGGUACCCAUUCGAAGUCAACUUAUUGUUCGCCUUGGAGUUCAAGCUAUGCAGGACUCAAAGACUAUUUCUACUGAGUCUCUUUUCAUCUAAUUAAAGAAGAUGACAUUUUACCCUAAGCAAAUUGAACUUCAUAUUUACAAAGAUAGUAGAAUUGGGCAACCAGAUUUAUCUCUACUUUGGUUAUUCUACAAAGUGCAGAUUUUCUUCAUCUAUGUAUUGGAUACCUUCAGUUCUACGAUAUUGUAUUAGAUAUAUGUAGUGGUAACCUGUGUUUCACUCAGCUAUUACUUCACAUCCUCGUCUCUCCUUAUUUAGGUAUCUGCAAUUAAUUGCUCUUUCUUGUAUCGUUUCCUCACAGUUCAUGGGAUCCUAGAUGACUUGAUAUAGUACAUAUCUGGUUUGGUAUUAAAUGUAUUCCAUGAUAUAGAGGUACUCAUAACUGUAAUUGGGACCAUACAUGUAAACUCUCUGUUCUUGAUUUCUACCUUGUCAUACAGAUACCAUAAGGUGCCCGUGAAUUUUAUUCUUUUGAGUUUCUCUUAGUGAACUUCCUUUGGUCGUGGGCUGUUUGAUUUUGUUUCUAGCUUCUCCUAAAAGGCUUUCAUGGCAUGCUUGUCAUCACGGCCCAUACAUGGAGUUCAUGAAAGUUCGAUUUGCCUUCCAUGCCAGUUCUAUGGAGAAACAAAUGAGGAGCUGCUCUUUUUUGUGCCGGAUGAUAGGGACCCUUCUCCUGUUGAUGCAAUACACCAGCUAUAUUGUUCCAGCUUCCUUAAUUCUUGUAGGCCAAGCAGCUAACCUCGGUUUGGUCUGUGUACAUGUACACCAUAAGCACCAUCAGCUUAUAUGUGCAAAUUAGUUUCAGGUAUCGUUUCAACCUUGUAUGUGAAGUGAACUCGUGUAACCAAAACAUGUAUCUGCUACUUUAUUAUGUUUCCUUCAAGAAAAACCAAAUGCUUGCAA